UUCCUGGCAGAUUAAAACUGUGUGCGGACCGAGACUCAAACUCGAGUCUCAGUCCGGCACACAGUUUUAAUCUGCCAGGAAAUUUCAUAUUUAUAAGUGUCCCAUUUUAUAGAGUUUUGCUUUAUACAUUUCUGCACAGUGUUUUUCACUUCACAGGUGUGCCCAUAUUAAGCACAAUUUAAGAUUUUUGCUCCAGUAAC